rnacentral:sRNA from 1 species
CUCUCUCUCUUUCUACACUGAUUUCUUUCUUUCUCUCACUCUUUGAGAAGCUCUGUAUAUCUUUCAUAAUCUCUCUCUCUAUUCUUCACACCUCUCUUCUGCUCUCACUGUCUCCAUCAAAAUGUGAUUUCAUAUGCAAGUAUUGUACAAUACAACUCAUUUCACUAGUUAUUUGUCUGUUGCAUUUCUUGCUUGAAGUAAGUAUGAAAUCUUUAGCAAUCUUACACAUUCUCUGAAUUCUGCUGUUGUUUGUACUGAUUGUGCUGAGUAUAUAUUAUACCUCUUCUUGUCUCUUUUCUAUGAUUUUCUUUCUAACUUUCAUAGGUGAAAUUGUACAGAGUCUCCACAUCAUUGAAAUUAUAACAGACAAGAAUUCUCAUGUUAUAUUUGCUUACACUGAUUUUUAUAUUGUCUCUCUGUUUUUGUGUACUUUCAGUCUGUC